UACGUAGGGGGCAAGCGUUGUCCGGAUUUAUUGGGCGUAAAGAGCGUGUAGGCGGUCAGGUAGGUCCGUUGUGAAAACUCGAGGCUCAACCUCGAGACGCCGAUGGAAACCAUCUGACUAGAGUCCGGAAGAGGAGAGUGGAAUUCCUGGUGUAGCGGUGAAAUGCGCAGAUAUCAGGAAGAACACCCGUGGCGAAGGCGGCUUACUACGCCUAUAUUGACGCUGAGGCACGAAAGCGUGGGGAUCAAACAGG
rnacentral:rRNA from 1 species